rnacentral:rRNA from 1 species
AGAGUUUGAUCCUGGCUCAGAAUCAACGCUGGCGGCGUGCCUCAGACAUGCAAGUCGAACGAUUAAACUUCUCUUCGGAGAAGAUAUAAAGUGGCGCACGGGUGAGUAACACGUAGGUAAUGUACCUUUGGGUGGGGAAUAACUUAGGGAAACUUAAGCUAAUACCGCAUAAUGCAGCGGCUCCUUCGGGAGACAGUUGUUAAAGCGUUUACGCGCCUAAAGAGCAGCCUGCGGCAGAUUAGCUAGUUGGUAAGGUAACGGCUUACCAAGGCUACGAUCUGUAUCCGACCUGAGAGGGUGGUCGGACACACUGACACUGAAUAACGGGUCAGACUCCUACGGGAGGCAGCAGUCGGGAAUUUUGGGCAAUGGGCGAAAGCCUGACCCAGCAACGCCGCGUGAAGGAUGAAGUCUUUCGGGAUGUAAACUUCGUAAGAAUAGGAAGAAUAAAUGACGGUACUAUUUGUAAGGUCCGGCUAACUACGUGCCAGCAGCCGCGGUAAUACGUAGGGACCAAGCGUUGUUCGGAUUUACUGGGCGUAAAGGGCGCGUAGGCGGCGUGUCAAGUCAAUUGUGAAAUCUCCGAGCUUAACUCGGAACGGUCAAUUGAUACUGAUGUGCUAGAGUGCAGAAGGGGCAAUCGGAAUUCUUGGUGUAGCGGUGAAAUGCGUAGAUAUCAAGAGGAACACCUGAGGUGAAGACGGGUUGCUGGGCUGACACUGACGCUGAGGCGCGAAAGCUAGGGUAGCAAACGGGAUUAGAUACCCCUGUAGUCC